rnacentral:rRNA from 1 species
GGCUACUGCUAUCAGAGUUCGAUUAAGCCAUGUUAGUCGAGGGUGCUUCUUCCUCUUCGGGGGAAGCGGUAACCCGGCGGACGGCUCAGUAACACGUGGACAACUUGUCCUUUGGACCGGGAUAACCCCUGGGAAACUGGGGCUAAUACCGGAUAGAGCAUUGACCGCUGGAAUGCGCGAUGCUCGAAAGCUGAGGCGCCAAAGGAUAGGUCUGCGGCCGAUUAGGUUGUUGUUGAUGUAACGGAUCAACAAGCCUUCGAUCGGUAUGGGUUGUGAGAGCAAAAGCCCAGAGAUGGGUUCUGAGAGAAGAACCCAGGUCCUACGGGACGCAUCAGGCGCGAAAACUUUACAAUGUGCGAAAGCACGAUAAGGGAACUCUGGGUGCCUCCAAAGGAGGCUGUUCAGGUGUUUAAAAAGCAUCUGAAGUAAGGGCUGGGUAAGACCGGUGCCAGCCGCCGCGGUAACACCGGCAGCCCAAGUGGUGGCCACUUUUACUGGGUCUAAAGCGUUCGUAGCCGGCUAUGUAAGUUCCUUGGGAAAUUUGACCGCUUAACGGUUAAGCUUCCAGGGAAUACUGCUUGGCUUGGGACCGGGAGAGGUCAGAGGUACCUCAAGGGUAGGGGUGAAAUCCGUUAAUCCUUGGGGGACCGCCGGUAGCGAAGGCGUCUGACCAGACCGGAUCCGACGGUGAGGGACGAAGGCUAGGGUAGCGAACCGGAUUAGAUACCCGGGUAGUCCUAGCUGUAAACGAUGCGGGCUAGGUGUUGGCAUUACUGCGAGUGAUGCCAGUGCCGAAGGGAAGCCGUUAAGCCCGCCAUCUGGGGAGUACGGUCGCAAGGCUGAAACUUAAAGGAAUUGGCGGGGGAGCACUACAACGGGUGGAGCCUGCGGUUCAAUUGGAUUCAACGCCGGG